AGUGAACGCUGGCGGUAUGCCUAACACAUGCAAGUCGAACGGCAGCACAGUAAGAGCUUGCUCUUACGGGUGGCGAGUGGCGGACGGGUGAGGAAUACAUCGGAAUCUACUUUUUCGGGGGGGAUAACGUAGGGAAACGUACGCUAAUACCGCAUACGACCUACGGGUGAAAGCAGGGGAUCUUCGGACCUUGCGCGAGUGAAUAAGCCGAUGUCGGAUUAGCUCGUUGGCGGGGUAAAGGCACACCAAGGCGACGAUCCGUAGCUGGUCUGAGAGGAUGAUUAGAUACACGGGAAGUGAGACAGGGUACCGACACCGACGGUGGGCAGCGGUGGGGACUCUUGGGCGAUGGGGGAAAGCCGGAUACAGGAAUACCGGGUGGAGGAAGAAGGACUUCGGGCGGUAAAGUGCUGUAGGUGGGAAAGAAAAGAAGCACGUUAACACCGCGCGGUUCUGACGGUACCCAAAGAAUAAGCACCGGCUAACUCCGUG
rnacentral:rRNA from 1 species